rnacentral:misc_RNA from 1 species
AGGAGGUGCUGACCACCGGC